rnacentral:tRNA from 1 species
UCCUUCUUAGCUCAGCUGGUUAGAGCAUCUGACUGUUAAUCAGAGGGUCGCUGGUUCGAGUCCAGCAGAGGGAGCAA